UUAAUCCUUCGGGGCAGGGUGAAAUUCCCUACCGGCGGUGAUGGUCGCAAGACCUCAGUCCGUGACCCGCGUAAAGCGGUGGACCUGGUGCAAAUCCGGGACCGACAGUAACAGUCUGGAUGGGAGAAGGAUGAG
rnacentral:ncRNA from 1 species